GUGCUUGCUUCGGCUGCACAUAUACUAAAAUUGGAAUGAUACAGAGAAGAUUAGCAUGGCCCCUGCACAAGGAUGACAAGCAACUUCGUUAAGCGCUCCAUAUUUUU
rnacentral:snRNA from 1 species